CAAAACUUUAGCUGAACUUGUUGUGAAACAGUAACAGUAAGAGAUAGUUAAUAUAUAAUUGUGACAUACUAACUGUGUAUUUAUUGCUCUUUUGAUGAUCAGCUGUGAAUAGUUGUGGUCUGGAGAUCUGGGCUGUCGUCAGAAGCCACCAAAUCCCAUCAAGUUCUGCAACCAACUUACUUGAGUUAAUUGAAGAAACUGAGAGGAGAACAGUUAACUCACAUCAAGUCUGGAUUUGCUCUGGGUGAUUUACCAGUCCCUAAGGGAGCCAGAGCCAGGAUCUGGAGCUGACACCCUAUAUGGAGCAGGAGAUGCUUCGAGCAGCCAGCACGAAAGGAGGCAAAAAGCCAAGUGGCAGGAUAUCUGCUGAGAAAGCUGAGAAGAUGAGUGUCUCGCAGGAGAAAAUGGAAGACAGCAGAUCUCACAUGACAUCCAAAGAAUACAAGCUACAAAAGGAUCAGCAUCUCAUAAAGAAUUUUAAGACAUUACAAGACAUUGCAAGGUAAAGAUCUUUUUUUCCCCCCCUAUCUUUAUUACCAUAUUCAUCAACUGAAAAGCUGGUUUCUAGUAUAAUUUCAGGAAUGAACAUAUUGAUCAUGAAGAUUAUGGCAAUUCUUAAAUUAUUUCCAGGAUCAGUAAAGAAAGCCAGUCAAAUUUUCCUAGAAAUUUUUCCUUCAAAAUAUUUAUCUUUAGUGUCGUGAUUAAGUGUCUAAUAUGUCAUAUAUCUGCCAAUUUUGGGUGCUACUUUUAAUUAGGGUUCUGAUGUUUCUGAUGCUCUCUAAAACCAUUAUAUUUACCUUGUACGUGAUUACAAACAAGAUUGUGGGAGCCUUCAGACUCCUGCUCUUGAGACACCAAAAAGCAAAGUCACAUAUGGCAGGAAGCUUUCAGUGAAGUUUACUUUGAAAAUAAAUGCGUGGCAAUAGCAUGAGAAAGUGUGAAG
rnacentral:lncRNA from 1 species